GUCUGUGAUGCCCUUAGAUGUUCUGGGCCGCACGCGCGCUACACUGUCGGUCGCAACGAGCCCACUCAAAAAGAACCUUGGCCGGAAGGCCCGGGUAAACUUUUAAAGGCCGACGUGCUAGGGAUAGAGCAUUGCAAUUGUUGCUCUUGAACGAGGAAUACCUAGUAAGCGUGAGUCAUCAGCUUGCGUUGAUUACGUCCCUGCCCUUUGUACACACCGCCCGUCGCUACUACCGAUUGAAUGGCUUAGCGAGGUCGUCGGACGUGCCCUCUGCGGGCCGGCAACAGCCCUGGGGGAUAAAGAAGACGAUCAAACUUGGUCAUUUAGAGGAAGUAAAAGUCGUAACAAGGUUUCCGUAGGUGAACCUGCGGAAGGAUCAUUAAAAGAAAACUUGAGCAUUGCUCAAUGAAAACUCCUGUGCACCUCUUGAUGAUGGUCCGGAGCUCUUAUGGGGCCCCUGGACCGUCAGAAGUCAAAAGCUCAUUUGUUAACGGUGGAACUUUGCUUGUUACGCUUGUAACGAAAACAAAUACAACUUUCAGCAACGGAUCUCUUGGCUCUCGCAUCGAUGAAGAACGCAGCGAAAUGCGAUAAUUAAUGUGAAUUGCAGGUUGUUAGUGAAUCAUCGAGUCUUUGAACGCAUCUUGCACCCUUUGGCAUUCCGAAGGGUAUGCCUGUUUGAGUGUCUUUGAUACCUCAACCCCGAACCCCUGUGGGUUCAGGUUGGACUUGAGCCUUGCCGUGACCUUCACGGCUUGCUUGAAAUGCAUGAGCCCAGUCUUGAGCGGUUCCGUUCCGUCCAUGCAGGUGUGGUAGAGCUCCUCAUGGGUUUGAAAUCACCUUGAGCGUGUGACGGACAUGGGCUCUGGCUGCGUGCCCCUUUCCUCGAGCAGAGGCCGGCCUCGGUCUCUGGUCUCUUGGAGCUUUCGAACUUGACCUCAAAUCAGGUAGGACCACCCGCUGAACUUAAG
rnacentral:rRNA from 1 species